rnacentral:lncRNA from 1 species
CUUUCCCCAUGCUUGGAGAUCCCACGAACGCCAGGGAAGCCUCCGUCUGCAUUCAUCCCUGAGCAAAAUUGAAAGGCAAGACCAAGGAGCAGUGUUUCCAGGGGCGAGUUGGGAGGCAAAAAGAAAGAAGUACCUCUCGCGGGUUCCAACUUGCAGCGAGCAUCGCGGUCUUCGCAGCAGGUACGCAGAAGCAGGCUGGGGAGCAGAGGGCCGCUGGACCCCUUGCUUCGAAAAAUCCUUGCUGAAGUUAAAAAUCAAGAUGAACCAGACAAACUGCAGACCCAGUUAUUGCAGGAGCCAGUGUGGCCACAAGUUCCAGUCGCUCUUCUCUUGUUUUCUCCAUGCAUUCUUCUGUUCAUCUGUCUCCUUUCCCUGCCUGGCAGCCCUCUUGCUGCCUUUCCGACGAACUGUCAUUACCUCCUCUCUGACAAUGUCUAACUGACAUUGCCCUCCUCUCUGUUCCUGCUCCCCUCUUCCUCUCUUCUGUUUUCUCUCUCCCCCUACUCUCUCUGUCUCCGACCUUCCUCCACUUCUCCCUCCCUCUCCUCCCUUCCUGAACCCUGCAUCUCCACCCAUCUCCUUUUUUCUAUCUCAGUCCCCCCUCAUUCUCUAAUUCACCUUUCUUCUUUCCUCCUUCUCUCCAUCCCUUCAGUAUGGUUGCCGCUAUUAUAUGGCUGCAUCUCUUUAAAUCACGCUUAACCUACCAAUCACUGAUGGCACUCAAUGCGUCAAUAAGGGAAUUUGCUGAAAGUCUUUGCUUUAUUAUUAGUGGUUUAACUAGCACCCUUUGUAUGCCCCGAGAUAGGUUCAUCCCUUAAAAUUUCACAAAACUGAAGCAUCUGCACUCUCCUCUACUUAUAGAAAUGUAUCUCAUUCUCAGUGUGUAUACAUCACACUUCGUGAAAGCAGACAUUUCAUAAUCUUUGGCCACACUGAGGCUCCCAAGGCAGUACAGAAAUCCAGGUGUCCUCAAGUUAGGAAAUAUCAAUCUGGUCCACAGAUACUACCUUCAUGGUGGGCAAUGGUGUGAAAAUGCCUGUGUGAACUGACUGUUUUCUUUUUGGAAAGUCAGUUUAGGGGCCUCCUCUCUUCGGAAUUUGCCA